rnacentral:misc_RNA from 1 species
GAUGAAGAACGUAGCGAAAUGCGAUCCUUGGUGUGAAUUGCAGAAUCCCGUGAACCAUCGAGUCUUUGAACGCAAGUUGCGCCUCAAGCCAUUAGGUUGAGGGCACGUCUGCCUGGGCGUCACAUAUCGUUGCCUGAUGCCAGUUUCCUCGUGAUGGGUGACUGUGCAGGGCGAAUGAUGGCUUCCCGUGAGCAUUGUUGCCUCAUGGUUGGUUGAAAAUUGAGUCCUUGGUAGGGAGCGCCGUGAUAGAUGGUGGUUGAGUGACGAACGAGACCCAAUCAUGUGAGACCCCUACCGAAUUUGGCCUUCAUGACCCACAUGCGUCUUUGGAACGCUCAUGACGAGACCUCAGGUCAGGCGGGGCUACCCGCUGAGUUUAAGCAUAUCAAUAAGCGGAGGA